GGGGGAGAUCUGGUUCUGCCCCAUAGCAAUCCCCUUCUGCCCCAUAGCGAUAUAGUUCUGCCCCAUGGUGAUCUGUUUCUGCCCCAUAGUGGGGGAGAGAUCCCGUUCUGACCUAUAGCAAUCCGGUUCUGCCCCAUAGCGAUCCCAUCCUGCCCCAUAGAGGGGGUUGGAGAACCCAGUUCUGCCCCAUAGAGGGGGGGGUUACCCCAUUUCUUCCCCAUAGAGGGGCUGGAGACUCCGUUUCUGCCCCAUAUUGGGGUGGGAGCUCUGGUUCUGCCCCAUAGACAGGUGAGAUACCACAUUUCUGCCCCAUAGCAGGUAUGGGAGCUCCAGUUCUGCCCCACAUUGGGGAUGGGAGACCCCAUUUCUGCCCCAUAGUGGGGAUGGAAGCCUCAGUUCUGCCCCACAUUGGGGCUGUAUCCUCUGCUAUGGGGCUGUGUCCCCUAUGGGGCCACAUCAUCCAUCUGUGGGGCUGUGUCCCCAGUAUGUGGGGCUGUGCCCCUCAUCUAUGGGGCUGUAUCCUUUACCUGUGGGGCCCUGCCCCCCAAGUGUGGGUCUGGGCCCCCCCUGACCUCCUUCUCUCCUCAGCUUCCGGCCCACGCUGCCCCUGUCCGCGGUCGGGGUCGCUCUGGCCUUGGACAGCCCCGAGAGCCGGAGCCGCUUCCUGGGGUCUCUGCCUCUGUCCUACUGCGGCCCCGACGCCAUCGACUGCAAGCGGAGCCUGCUGGCGCUGA
rnacentral:lncRNA from 1 species